UUCUGUGCAAUUUCAUUUUGAUCUUAUAUUGGAAUAGAGUUGUAUCCGAUGUUGUGUUUAUAUAAGGUGUACAGGAACUUAAUUCAGCCAUGCAUAAAUGCAUAUCUAUUCUUUUCCAGGUUUUUCUUCCCAUAUACAUAAGAUCCUAAAAAGUAGUGAGAAGCAAGAGUCAGAGAAGAGAAUUAAAAUGCAGCAGGAGGUGGUGGAGGUGUUGGAAACAAGUGGAAAAUCCAAGAAAUGUAAUCCUGUAGAAGCAGGGCUCUACAAACUUAAAGCACAGAAACUGGGUUCUGGAAUUCUUUACAGUGGGCACAUUUUCCCUAAGAAACUGCCAGAGAAGCCACCCACUGUGCCUGUUGGCUUUGAUUUUGAAAUGGAGAAAAGAAUCAUACAGCAAGAAGCAAAGAGGGUAUUGCAGGAUAAACAGUUAAAUUUACGCAAAGCCUUGCCCUUAUCGUAUCUUGUUAGGUGUUGUGUGUGUUCCCGAUAAGAAAGAAAUUCCACUCACUGUCCCCAGGGCUCCUACCUUGGUUUGGAAGAAGAGAACCCAAAUCAACCCAAGAGGACGAGGACGAGGAGUAGCCAGGAGUGAUAAGAACCCAACAAUGGCCCCAGAUGGAGGACCUUUUAAGCCCAAAUCCUGGAGAAGAACAUGAAGAACGCGGCUCAGGCUGAGCCUUCCGCGUGGAGCCUGGCAGAAGAGGCGCCCGAAGGCACAGACGUGGGUUCUCUCCGCUCCUCCGGGGUGGCGGACGGGGCGGCUCCCUUCAGGCCGCGUCCGCAGCCGAGCCUGGGGGUGGAGCGACCGGAGCGCUCGGCGAUGCCCGCGCAGUCAAGGGCCGCUCCCUGACAGGAGUCGGUGGCUUCCACCCUCCUCCUCCGUUCUAUAUGUGAGUCAGAAUAUAUAGUUGAUUUGGUUUGUAAUUUAUUCACUUGAAGUGUAAUUUUUACAGCUUUAUCCUUCACUUUUUAUAUUUGUAUUUAAAAAUAAAGAUACUUGAUUUAGUUUACA